AGAACCCUACGGGGGGCAGCAGUGAGGAAUAUUGGUCAAUGGGCGAGAGCCUGAACCAGCCAAGUCGCGUGAAGGAUGACGGCCCUACGGGUUGUAAACUUCUUUUGUCAGGGAGCAAUUGGGUCCACGCGUGGGCUUAGCGAGAGUACCUGAAGAAAAAGCAUCGGCUAACUCCGUGCCAGCAGCCGCGGUAAUACGGAGGAUGCGAGCUUUAUCCGGAUUUAUUGGGUU
rnacentral:rRNA from 1 species